rnacentral:rRNA from 2 species
CAGCCGCCGCGGUAAAACCAGCACCUCAAGUGGUCAGGAUGAUUAUUGGGCCUAAAGCAUCCGUAGCCGGCUCUGUAAGUUUUCGGUUAAAUCUGUAUGCUCAACAUACAGGCUGCCGGGAAUACUGCAGAGCUAGGGAGUGGGAGAGGUAGACGGUACUCGGUAGGAAGGGGUAAAAUCCUUUGAUCUAUUGAUGACCGCCUGUGGCGAAGGCGGUCUACCAGAACACGUCCGACGGUGAGGGAUGAAAGCUGGGGGAGCAAACCGGAUUAGAUACCCGGGUAGUCCCAGCUGUAAACUAUGCAAACUCAGUGAUGCAUUGGCUUGUGGCCAAUGCAGUGCUGCAGGGAAGCCGUUAAGUUUGCCGCCUGGGAAGUACGUACGCAAGUAUGAAACUUAAAGGAAUUGGCGGGGGAGCAC